GUUGGUGCAAAAGUAAUUGCGGUUUUUGACAAUUAAUGGCAAAAACCGCAAUUACUUUU
rnacentral:miRNA from 1 species